rnacentral:lncRNA from 1 species
GCCAAGCCGAGCUGUGGGUGGGAGACUGAGAGUGGGAGCGCAGCCCAGGGUGUGUCUAUGUGUUCCUGCUCACGGGGAAGGCACUGGGAAAGAGCACUGCAUACUUUGCCAGGGAGGACUCCUGUGGACUAGGAGGGGUGUAGUAGGAGUGGUGCUCUCCUAUUGUAAUGUACUGUAGCCAUGCAGUAUUUUACCUGGAUACUGGGCUGCUUAAUGCUGGAUUCUUUCCUCUUUGGAUUGUGUUUGGAGGGUCAAUGGAGAGCAUCUUACACGGAUCCCUCCCUCCCAGAAGGCAAGUCUCCUAUCUCCCAGCACGCAGCCACCCUACAACAACAAGGGAAUGGGUUUGUAGGAGUUGAUGAGGCAGACCCCUCUAUCUUCACCCUACAUCACACGGAUACAGGUACCCGUGGCAGCAAUUCCCCCUAUACAGUCACUGCCUUGGAUGAGAACAUCACCACAGAUGCAAAAGACAGACCACAACAUGACAUCAUCGACCUGGACUCCACCGGCCCCUCCCCCAGUUUCCAAAGGAAAGGCUCUGACCAGAAGAGCCCAUCCCAGUCUGGUCACCCUGACCCCAGUGUGCUCUUGGAGGAGAACCUGUUGCCUCCUGCAGGGUCAGCAGUGGAGCAGGGAAGGAUUAGUAGUGGCUCUCACACACAGAAGGGCCAGGGGAACAGUGAGGAGGUCGGACAGGCUGGUUCUGAUCACACAGGCUUGCUGACAGUGGCACCCAGUGAGGGUGAUGUCAUAGUCGGAUCUGACAACAAGAUUUACAGGCUCCUGAGUGGCCCUCCAGGGCCAGUUGGCCCUCCAGGAGAACAAGUAAGAAUCUCUUAG